rnacentral:rRNA from 1 species
GACGAACGCUGGCGGCGUGCUUAACACAUGCAAGUCGAACGGAAAGGCCCCCUUGUGGGGUACUCGAGUGGCGAACGGGUGAGUAACACGUGAGUAACCUACCCUUGACUUUGGGAUAACUUCAGGAAACUGGGGCUAAUACCGGAUAGGAGCUCCUGCUGCAUGGUGGGGGUUGGAAAGUUUCGGCGGUUGGGGAUGGACUCGCGGCUUAUCAGCUUGUUGGUGGGGUAGUGGCUCACCAAGGCUUUUACGGGUAGCCGGCCUGAGAGGGUGACCGGCCACAUUGGGACUGAGAUACGGCCCAGACUCCUACGGGAGGCAGCAGUGGGGAAUAUUGCACAAUGGGCGGAAGCCUGAUGCAGCAACGCCGCGUGCGGGAUGACGGCCUUCGGGUUGUAAACCGCUUUCGCCUGUGACGAAGCGUGAGUGACGGUAAUGGGUAAAGAAGCACCGGCUAACUACGUG